UUCAUCUUUUCGUCAGCUCUGAGCAGCUGUUCUGUUCCUGCUGAGAACAGGCAUGCAGACACUCCCAUGUUUUAUCAUGAGGAUGGAUGGUGAGCUUAGUGACCAGCAGUGUUUAUUUUCUGCCACUUGUGGGACAUGUCAUAUAACCUAUGAAGUUCAAUUUUGGUCUCAUUUUUGGCUGUCGUCUUGUUUGCUUCUCAAAAGAAUGCUCUCCCUACCAAGACUGAGUAAUGUGAUUAAUCUGAUGAGAUCAAAUCAAAAACAUUCCACAUUUUGAACCGCAACAUAAGAUGUGACCCCCGUAUGCAGCCCUGGCAUGAGAGGCUCCCAGAAGAAUCUGUAAUCACACUUUGAUUGGGCCCAUUAACCUCAUGAAAUAUAUAUGUGUGACUGAACUCAUCCACUUAAACUUUGGCAGGAGCCAAAUAUGCCUGUUUGGAAUUCAACGGGGCAUUCAAGGGCAAAAUUCGUUUUCUCUGUGACUUGUUCUCUCACUAUUGCUUCAGUUGUUCUUCCUUCUAUUGUCAGAAAUAAUUCACUAUGGUCGUCCUUUCUGAGUCCCAAAGGGGGAUUCAGUUGAAGUUGUGCCAGUGUGUGUGUGUGUGACUGGCAUCAGGGUUUUGCCCAUACAUAUAAGUAAACAUUUUAUAUUGUCUAUUUU